rnacentral:rRNA from 1 species
CCUACGGGUGGCUGCAGUGGGGAAUAUUGGACAAUGGGCGAAAGCCUGAUCCAGCCAUGCCGCGUGUGUGAAGAAGGCCUUCGGGUUGUAAAGCACUUUCAGUGGGGAAGAAAGCCUUGGGGCUAAUACCCUCGAGGAAGGACAUCACCCACAGAAGAAGCACCGGCUAACUCCGUGCCAGCAGCCGCGGUAAUACGGAGGGUGCGAGCGUUAAUCGGAAUUACUGGGCGUAAAGCGCGCGUAGGCGGUCUGAUAAGCCGGUUGUGAAAGCCCCGGGCUCAACCUGGGAACGGCAUCCGGAACUGUCAGGCUAGAGUGCAGGAGAGGAAGGUAGAAUUCCCGGUGUAGCGGUGAAAUGCGUAGAGAUCGGGAGGAAUACCAGUGGCGAAGGCGGCCUUCUGGACUGACACUGACGCUGAGGUGCGACAGCGUGGGUAGCAAACAGGAUUAGAUACCCGAGUAGUC